CGCUGCUGCUGACAAUCUAGCCCGAGCUGCUGCCAGCGCCUUUCGGCCACCGGCCACGUCCCCGAGCUGUUGCGUGCCUGUCGAAGAGAAGAUGUGUGCUUUCGCCGGUGGGAGACAAUGACAGUGGAGGAGCUUCGCAGCUCAACAGUGGGCUGCGACCAUGAUUGCACUCUUGCCAUUGCCAACACCAUGCUGUAAGCACCCUUGCCUCGACCUAGCUGCAGGACGACCAAAGGCUGCUCCUGCUGCUCCCUAUCUUCGUCGAGGUUGUUUUGCCACAGGGAGCAAAAAAUGAUUAUAAGCUGUCAUGUUUCGAGUGAAUAAGCAAGACAUCAGGAGGAUAGGCGGAGCUCGAUGGCUAGUGGUGACCACAACUGCUCUCUUGCCAGCGCUGCUGCCACAGCAUGUGCGAUCCUUCUCGGGCCUCCCCACUGCCAGGGCCAAGAACUGAGAGGCGUGCAAAUACUCCCUGCCCUAACCUAGCCGACGGCACAUUGCUGCUGUUACAUCUGAUAAUGAUGAUGCAUGUCACCAUCAAGGUGGUUUUGCCAUUUCUAGUGAGAAAAGGUGAUCAAGGCUGGCCUCCCUGUGCUCCUGCUAGUGCACACAUGUUUGGGGGUUGUUGUUGUUAUUUUCCCUAUCCGUGUCCCCGAUCUGCUGCUGCGGGUACGGCUUCUCGGCCUCAGAUGCGGCCCUAGAUUCCUGCACUAGUCGUCGCAAGCAUCGACCAGCGGUGGGCUAGCAUUCCGGGUGGAUGACACCUCUUGGUGCACUGAGAUUGGCAUCGACUACAAUCCGUCCUAGAUCUGGAAGGGACAUCUUCAAGAUCAUGUGCAUCCCGAGCCUUCGUCUUCUGGCUAAGGAGACUAGUCACUAGCUGAUUUGACACCAGAUUCUGUUGUACCCACUAAACUUCCUCGGGUCCCUAAAUAUGUGAAUUCUUCUCAAGGACCUGUUAGUAAUACAUCAUCAACAUCCUAGCAUGGUGCUGCGAACUCAGCUAUGAGUGUUCCAUAUAUGCUUCUCGUUGCCAAGCUCUUCGAUGGGAUCUCUUAGCUCGGACAAAUCAAGUUUCAACCUAGAUGCUAAGGUUCGGUAUGUGAUGCAUAUUAUACUUGUCCAUGCUUUUUUUCUUUUGUUUCCUAUUGCUCACCUGUGUCAAGUGCACUAACAAUUGCUAUUUCUAGACCAGGAAUUCAAGUUGAACCCAAAUGAUAAGGGUUUCACUCCAUUGACUUCUUCUGUCAGGCCAUGUCGCCUUCUAGCAGCUGAUGCAACUUACUAUUAUCCUAAUAACAUGCAAACUACUCAUGGACCUUGGCAUGGCCACAUGGGGGUGUUUCUAAUAUUUUAAACACAUUUUCCUUAUUUACUUACUAUUUACAUGAAAUGGGUGCAAUACUGAAUUCAAAUAUAUAUGUCUGAAUUAUGACCUAUUUUUUGAGUUUAUUUUUCAAAAGAAUUGGGAAGAGUGGCAGUGGUACCAGGUUGUUGAUUUGGUACUGAGGUUUAGUUACCUGCUAGUCAAGAUGUCGGUGUUGUAAUAAUCCUUAUUGAACAUCCUUUUUAAAUGAUGUGGCCCUUCACUAAUUUCCAAGGUUCCUAAAGCUGAUACACCAUGCUUUCCUAUUGAUGGCAAUUACUUGUUGGAUUUUUUGUGGUCUCGAUUCUCGAACAAUCCAUGAGAUGCAUGUUGUAUUGUAUUGGUUUCUGAAGCUUCUAGGGCUGUUGGGUUUUUUUAAUGUAUACGGGCAAAUGCAUACUUUUGCAAUUUGUCUUGUCAUGCCGAUCCAAUCAGCUUCCAGAUUCUUAGAUUUGGGUAAUGAUAUUCACUCUGAAUUUGCAGCUCUUUUUUGGUAUUCAAUAAUUUUUGUAGGGUCUGAAUUUUGAGCAUGUAUUAGUUUAAGAAUUUCUGGGGGGAAUUGAAAGCUCAGGAAAUAAUAUGGUCCUAUUUUUAACUUUCUUCCAGUACAUGUGCUUCUGGGACCUUCUCUUUUCGAGUUCACUGUUAUUACAUUGAAUUGUUGUGUUGUCUUCUCUUUUCCUUCUCUAAUUGCCAACCAUCUUGGUUAGGUUUCUUCUAGUGGCCUGUAAUUUGAGCUUAUUGGUAGUUUGAGCUUCUAGAUAAUUUGAAGUUAUGGUGAUUGCUUUCUAGAAUGUAAAAGUUUUUUUUUCCUUUCUUCUUCUAAUGUAGCCAAAAUCUCCAAAAGCUUUGUUUCCUGUUACUCUUGCCUUUCUGCAUCAGUUUUGUUGUCGGGUUACAACACUAGAUAUUUUUUUGCUAAUGAAAUCCUCUCUUUUUCAUCAAAACUAAGUGCUUAUAUUAGCUUAUUAUGUAUCCUGUAAACAUCAUUUUUGAUGCCGUGGAGUUUUCUAAGCUAAGAAGGUUCAUCCCUUCCUUGCAGAUUGAUUAGGAAGCUAAGCCUCACAUCUCAUCGAUAACGUAGUGGUUGAAGCAUCUUUGAGCACUCUUAUAUUGUGUUUAAUAAGCUACCCCUUACAAAUAUUCAGUACUCGCCCAGUACUCAAAUAUCAACGCAAUUUUCCUGUUUAACCGUGGUUUUCUGCCUAACAUGUUUUUAUCCUUAUGGCUGGAUGAAAUAAACACACACCGGUGCAAUUAUUUGAUUCUGGUUUCUUGUGCUAUCUGAUUAUUUGCCAUAGUAUAGACGGUACAAAUUCAGAAGCAAAGGUUCUUCCUAUCUUGAUAACAAAGGAGGAGUACAUUGCCCAAAACUUUCUGGAUCCAUUAUGAAAGUUGAAGGACCACUUUGUGCCUGUAAGCCUGCAAAAAUAUGCAGAUGGAGUUGUGCGACCGCAGGGCAGCCUAGAUGGAGUGCCCCUGGAGGACUUUUGCACCUGCGGGGUGGGGUUGUGGUGGCUGCAGCUGCAGGGCUAGUGCGCCGACUUGUAGAUCCUUACGCUAUAGUGGAAGCACUUGUAGAUUCGCACAUGGGUACCACGACAACAUAUCUGGGUGAUGGUCUCAUCACCAAAAAGAGGGCAAAGUCACUAAAGGGAGGAUCUAGCGCUUGAGGUGGACGAGGACAUGCUGCUGCGGAGGGACAUGAUGGUGAGUCGAUGUGCUAAGUGAUUGAUAUCGAUGGGGAAAGCAGAUGGGGAGGAGGCUUGUAGGAGAAGGAGAAUAUAUGUGCAGGGGUUAGGUUUCGGGGCGAGUCUUCAUUGAAUGACCAUGGCGUGAGAGCCGACCAUCUCCACCAUAUGGCACAUCACCCAACACUCCUACAGAACAUUGAGGCCGCGGUCCACUCCGUCAAGCUAUUCUGUACUAGUCGGGGGCAGCGAUCGAGACUAAAUUAAAUACGUGUGCAGACGUGUGCUAGGAAGCUGCAUGGCUUUCUUUAUAAAAAUAGCAUUCAACACAAAAUACAUCUGGGUACCACCGAUCUUGGCGCAUUUGGACGGUCCAGGAAACGGGACCAUCUGUGCUAGGGAUCACUUGUGCUUUUCCGCUGGUUAUAGAGAUAUGAUGUUGGUUAUAUUUUAGAGUCUCCUUUUAUAUAUCUAUAAUGCUGUUGUUUGAAAUCUUCUUGAACAUUGCAAGUACUUGAUACUGAUUCCACUUCUUGUAGGUGAACAUAUCAUCGCAAGCCUAGGAGCAUGCAUGUACUUUGUCGAGAACUUCCCAUGUUCUCAUCACUUCCAUUUCGGUGAACUCUCGAAUAAGGGUACAAGAAGUUGAACAAGGACUACCCCACAGGUGGUUGUCAUCCAGCUGGGCAGUGUCGGUCUCCCCGAGCUCCUUCUGGUGGUUGCCUGCAUGGGCUGUUGCUGGUGACUACUGUCUCGCUACCAUGCAAUGACGGAAAGUUCACCGUGGUGCAACUGCGGCAGAGGCGGUUUCUUCAUCGAGGCCGUGAUUUAGCAUGUAGCUGAUGCGCAAUAUCACUGAUGGAGCGGCCUCCAAGCCAGCGGUCCUCCCAGAAGCGCGCCGUUAGCCCAUUGCCAAUGGUCAUCAUGGUAGAGGCAAAUAAGAUUGCACGUUCUUACACGGGAGAAUUGGAGCUCCAGGUUGCUCCAGGCACCUGUGUCAGUGUGGCUCAGCCAGUGCAGUGCCAGACCUUCACAGCCUAGACUAUGCACUCCAAGGCCACCUGGAGCAAUUUCCCUGCAUACACGCCUCCAAUUGACAUGGUGGUUUCCUCCCUUUGCAUCUGCCCUGCCUUCCCAGAAGAACCCUCCUUCGAUUUUUUUUGAAUUGUUUGAUGCUCUUCUUUGGCGGUGCGAGGACCAGCAGCUGAUGCACAGGGAUGUCAUUGAGCACGGACUUGAUGAGUACGAGGCAGCCAGGCUUAUUCAUCAGACGAGCCUUACAGGUUGGUAGCUUUCCUCGCAUCUUCUCGGCCACUGGCUGUAGCUGGGCAGUGGUCAGCCUCCUAAGUGGGAGAGGGAUGCCCAGGUAGACGAUGGGAAACUCGACGAUUGGGGAGCCAAGGUCCACCAAAACCUUCAUGGCAUCCAUGUCGCUGUAGUUCAUCAGUGUAGUUGUGCUUUUCGUUUAAUUGACAUGCAUCCCUAAUGCUUGGCCAAACAAUUGCAGUAUCUUCUUCACCGUCAUGAUGUUGUUGCACUAUUUCAACUUAUUUAUAUCAUUGCUAGAUCAAUUAGGUAUUGUUGUUGCUUAUCCAUGUUGUUUGUUUUGAUUAAAUGACUUAUUGUCUCAAGUAUCUCGUGAAUAGUUUGGCUCCUUUAAGGGGUAUGUUUCUUGACUUUGUCGAAUGGAUGAACCUACUAAUUACUUUGGCAAAUGGCAGCUACAAGAAAGCAAUAAUGAUGACAACUGUUGAAGCAAUCUUGCCGGUAUGUUUAUAUUUCCCAUCUCAUAAUUAUUUUUGUACUCCGUAUAUUUUUGUGCUUGAAAACCGAAGUUACCUAUCUUCUUGUGGGUGUAGUACUACCGAAGGAUACUUAUCUUCCGUGCUGGUGUUCUUCGGAUAAGAUGAAACAAGUCUUUAUUUGUUUGGUGAUUAAUGUGGAUACAUGUAUUGUCCUUUUUGCAGAAAUAUUUCAUGGUUCCUAUGAUGUCACGCCUAGCUCUUUCUGGUUUUGUUUUUCUGCAAUUCUUAUAUAUGUAAUAAUAUACUUAUGAGAUUACUUGCAAAGGUUAAAUUAUCCCAUGGCUUGGUAGAGGAAUAAAAUCCCGUGUUUAUUUUCCUGAUUUUGUUCUCCUGUUUGGUAGUGGUAAAUAGACAGUUGGUGAUUAAAAAGUAGUUGUGGUUACAUUUUAUAUAAAAUAGGUUCAUAUCACUGGAAUAUAUGCAUGUAAUGUAAACAUUGCUGCUGAUUGGCAUGUUGCUUUGUCGGUUGUCCAUUUUUCAUCCAACUUGGAACUUGCAUACAGUAUGUAGGUAAUGUUGUCUGUUACAUGGAUGUUUUAUUCAUCACUUGUUAACCUGAACCUGCAUACAAUAGUUAGGUACAAUAAGGUUCAUUAAUCAACACCACAAUGUAUAAAUACAUAUAUAGAUGAGUGAAUACUAUCAGUAGUAGAUGAUAGGUGCGUUCAGGUUGCAGAUUCAGCUGGUGUUGUUGGUGGCAUGUGCUUUCUGGUACAUGUAGUGUCCUAUUGUUAUUUGAUUCAUGCUAGUCCUAGUGAAGCUCUUCUUUUUCAACUUCUUGGCAUUUUUCUUUGUGCUAAAUUUAUAGUUUCUCAGAUUCAAAUUGUUAUUGUGUUAUUUUGUUUAACAGUUCCUUUUUGUUCUGCGAGUUUAUAUUUGUUUUUGAAACAAUUACUCUUUGAACUUUAUGUGAUUAAUUGCCAUGCAUCCUGAUUCAGAUAGCCUAUGGAAUCUCCCAGGUUUCCUCCGUGGUUCCUGAUGGUGUCAACGAUUGUGACUGGUUUCAACCAUGGCCUCUCGUAAUACAGUCGUAGGCCAUAGUUGGAAGUUGAAGGAGCACUUUGUGCAUUUUAGCCUGCAAAUAUGCAGUUCUAAAGAGUGAACCUCAAUUUCAUGUUCUCUCUCCAGAGUGAUAUUAUUGCAGCCCACAGAAGAUGUUUUUAUUGAAGUUUUUUUUGUUCACAGCUUUGCGGAGAUCUUUCAUUCCGCUCUACAAACACUUGCGUUCUAAUUAUUGACAUCUCAUAGUAGAAACUAUCUGAUGCAGAUAUUAAACUUGGUUGUAAUUUCUCGUCGAUUAAUUUUAUUUCUGUUUAUCCCAGGAAAUUGUAAGAGGAAUAUUUUAACCUCGUCUAGACUGAUAUUCUGCAGAAUCCUGAUUGAGUUCUGGUUAACAUCUAUGCUUGGCAGCAAUCUCAAUUAGAUAAAUAAUCAGAACUUGAGAUGGUACAUACUACUUUGGCAGGCCACUAACAAAAGAGAGUUGCAAGACAUGUACUCAAGAGAACUGGGAAAUUCAUAAUAUCUGGCAUUUAGGUGAUAGAUGUACAGGCAGCAUGUUGCCGUGGCCCUUGCUCUUGAAGGAAGGAGUGGAGCUGGAGAUUCGGCCGGCCGGACGUGCUUCCUUUGUCAAUUUCAUUGACUGAUCCAGUGGCAUGUUCACUGCCUGUUAGGUAGUAAUGAGUAGGUGGAGUAUUGUUUGGGCAGAAGCAUCUACGUGGAUGGAAUGUCCUUUAUUUAUAAUACUAUGCAAUAUAAUGUUGGUACCAGAAAUUUCUUCGGCUGAUCAUAUUCAACCUGAUGGAAGAGUGAGAGAUCCAUAUGGGUUCUUUUUAUGCCAAAACUGAUAGAAUUAACAUUUCACAUUGAUGAGAGAUGCAUGUAGUGCUUGUUUUCUUUCUGUCUUCCCGGCUGUAUUACUGUAUAAAC